UUGAAAUGAUGACCAAACUUAGUUCAGUUCUGCUACCGAUGCAAGCGUGACGAUAACUACCAUAUCUUACCAAUAUUACCCUGACCC
rnacentral:snoRNA from 1 species